AACGAACGCUGGCGGCAUGCCUAACACAUGCAAGUCGAACGAGACCUUCGGGUCUAGUGGCGCACGGGUGCGUAACGCGUGGGAACCUGCCCUUAGGUUCGGAAUAACUCCCCGAAAGGGGUGCUAAUACCGGAUAAUGUCUUCGGACCAAAGAUUUAUCGCCUUUGGAUGGGCGCGCGUUGGAUUAGCUAGUUGGUAGGGUAAAAGCCUACCAAGGCGACGAUCCAUAGCUGGUCUGGGAGGAUGGUCAGCCACACUGGGACUGAGACACGGCCCAGACUCCUACGGUGGGCAGCAGUGGGGAGUAUUGGACAAUGAGCGAAAGCCUGAUCCAGCAGUGCCACGUGAGUUAUGAAGGCCUUAGGAUUGUAAAGCUCUUUUACCCGGGAUGUUAAUGACAGUACCGUGAGAAUAAGCUCCGGCUAACUCCGUG
rnacentral:rRNA from 1 species